UACGAAGGGGGGCUAGCGUUACUCGGAUUGACUGGGCGUAAAGGGCGCGUAGGCGGUUCGUACAGUCAGACGUGAAAUUCCUGGGCUCAACCUGGGGGCUGCGUUUGAUACGUGCGGACUUGAGUUCGGAAGAGGGUCGUGGAAUUCCCAGUGUAGAGGUGAAAUUCGUAGAUAUUGGGAAGAACACCGGUGGCGAAGGCGGCGACCUGGUCCGAUACUGACGCUGAGGCGCGAAAGCGUGGGGAGCAAACAGG
rnacentral:rRNA from 1 species